CCUACGGGAGGCAGCAGUGGGGAAUAUUGCGCAAUGGGCGAAAGCCUAACGCAGCGACGCCGCGUGAGGGAUGAAGGUCUUCGGAUCGUAAACCUCUGUCAGCAGGGAAGAACGGUCACUGUGCUAAUCAGCCGUGAAUUGACGGUACCUGCAAAGGAAGCACCGGCUAACUCCGUGCCAGCAGCCGCGGUAAUACGGAGGGUGCGAGCGUUAAUCGGAAUUACUGGGCGUACAGCGCUCGUAGGCGGUAUGUCAAGUAAAGGGUGAAAUCCCCGCGCUCAACGUGGGAACUGCCUUUGAAACUGGCAAACUGGAGUGUGUGAGAGGAUAGUGGAAUUCUAGGUGUAGGAGUGAAAUCCGUAGAUAUCUGGAGGAACAUCAGUGGCGAAGGCGACUAUCUGGCACAUAACUGACGCUGAGGAGCGAAAGCGUGGGUAGCAAACAGGAUUAGAUACCCGGGUAGUC
rnacentral:rRNA from 1 species